rnacentral:lncRNA from 1 species
UAACAGCAAGCUAUAAAGGGCCCAAAAAAUGACUGGUGUAAAACAGGAAAACCAAUGGUUAUAUAAAACAGAAGAUAUGGUAUGAUUGCCAAUGAGACAACUGUCGACAAAAGACCAAAAUGACACAGACAUUAACAACUAUAGGUCACCGUACAACCUUCAACAAUGAGCAAAGCCCAUAUGACAUAGUCAGCUAUAAAAAGGCCCUGAUAAGGCAAUGUAAAACAAGAAAACUAACGGCCUUAUUUAUAAAAAAAUGAACGAAAAACAAAUAUGCAACACAUAAACAAAUGACAACCAUUGAAUAACAGGCUCCUGACUUGGACAGGCUCUUUUUUAUUCUUGAAAGUUUCCUAAGCUUGAGCAGAGGCAAUCAUGUCCUCAAACACAUUCUUCUAUUGAAUAAUCUUCAUCAGGUAUGCUUUUGAUCUAGAUAUAAUUUAAUUUUGGAUGUAACACGUCUUCUGAUUGGCUGACGUUAUUUUGUUAUCAGCCCAUAGACAUAAUUUAGUCGUGUGAUUGUGACGUCAUCAACGUUUUUCGUGAUUUUCUACGGUUUAAAAUGGAAUUUAGAAUUAAAUUAUAAGAAAUGACUGUAAUAUUUUUCUGUCUAUUCGAAAUAACAUAAAAAAUGUGGUGAACACUGUUAAAUAACCCG